rnacentral:rRNA from 1 species
AACGUACGCUGGCGGCACGCCUAACACAUGCAAGUCGAACGAAGUAGCAAUACUUAGUGGCAGACGGGUGAGUAACAUGUGGGUAUCUGCCCUUUGGCCUGGAAUAACACGAGGAAACUUGUGCUAAUACCGGAUAAGUCUUUACGGAGAAAGCUUUAUGCACCAUUGGAUGAGCCCGCACUUGAUUAGUUUGUUGGUGGGGUAAUGGCCUACCAAGACUGUGAUCAAUAGCUGAUUUGAGAGGAUGAUCAGCCACAUUGGGACUGAGACACGGCCCAAACUCCUACGGGAGGCAGCAGUGGGGAAUCUUGCACAAUGGAGGAAACUCUGAUGCAGCGAUGCCGCGUGAGUGAAGAAGGCCCUUGGGUUGUAAAGCUCUUUCGUCGGGGAAGAAAAUGACUGUACCCGAAUAAGAAGGUCCGGCUAACUUCGUGCCAGCAGCCGCGGUAAUACGAAGGGACCUAGCGUAGUUCGGAAUUACUGGGCUUAAAGAGUUCGUAGGUGGUUGAAAAAGUUAGUGGUGAAAUCCCAGAGCUUAACUCUGGAACUGCCAUUAAAACUUUUCAGCUAGAGUAUGAUAGAGGAAAGCAGAAUUUCUAGUGUAGAGGUGAAAUUCGUAGAUAUUAGAAAGAAUACCAAUUGCGAAGGCAGCUUUCUGGAUCAUUACUGACACUGAGGAACGAAAGCAUGGGUAGCGAAGAGGAUUAGAUACCCUCGUAGUCCAUGCCGUAAACGAUGUGUGUUAGACGUUGGAAAUUUAUUUUCAGUGUCGCAGCGAAAGCGAUAAACACACCGCCUGGGGAGUACGACCGCAAGGUUAAAACUCAAAUGAAUUGACGGGGACCCGCACAAGUAGUGGAGCAUGUGGUUUAAUUCGAAGAUACGCGCAGAACCUUACCAACACUUGACAUGUUCGUCGCGACUCUAAGAGAUUAGAGUUUUCGGUUCGGCCGGACGAAACACAGGUGCUGCAUGGCUGUCGUCAGCUCGUGUCGUGAGAUGUUGGGUUAAGUCCCGCAACGAGCGCAACCCUCACUUUUAGUUGCCAUCAUUAAGUUGGGCACUCUGAAAGAACUGCCAGUGAUAAGCUGGAGGAAGGUGGGGAUGACGUCAAGUCCUCACGGCCCUUACGUGUUGGGCUACACACGUGCUACAAUGGUAUCUACAACAGGAAGCAAGACUGCGAGGUCAAGCAAAUCCUUAAAAGAUACCUCAGUUCGGAUUGCACUCUGCAACUCGAGUGCAUGAAGCUGGAAUUACUAGUAAUCGUGGAUCAGCGUGCCACGGUGAAUGCGUUCCCGGGUCU